rnacentral:rRNA from 1 species
GACGAACGCUGGCGGCGUGCUUAACACAUGCAAGUCGAACGGAAAGGCCCUGCUUUUGUGGGGUGCUCGAGUGGCGAACGGGUGAGUAACACGUGAGUAACCUGCCCUUGACUUUGGGAUAACUUCAGGAAACUGGGGCUAAUACCGGAUAGGAGCUCCUGCUGCAUGGUGGGGGUUGGAAAGUUUCGGCGGUUGGGGAUGGACUCGCGGCUUAUCAGCUUGUUGGUGGGGUAGUGGCUUACCAAGGCUUUGACGGGUAGCCGGCCUGAGAGGGUGACCGGCCACAUUGGGACUGAGAUACGGCCCAGACUCCUACGGGAGGCAGCAGUGGGGAAUAUUGCACAAUGGGCGGAAGCCUGAUGCAGCAACGCCGCGUGCGGGAUGACGGCCUUCGGGUUGUAAACCGCUUUCGCCUGUGACGAAGCGUGAGUGACGGUAAUGGGUAAAGAAGCACCGGCUAACUACGUGCCAGCAGCCGCGGUGAUACGUAGGGUGCGAGCGUUGUCCGGAUUUAUUGGGCGUAAAGGGCUCGUAGGUGGUUGAUCGCGUCGGAAGUGUAAUCUUGGGGCUUAACCCUGAGCGUGCUUUCGAUACGGGUUGACUUGAGGAAGGUAGGGGAGAAUGGAAUUCCUGGUGGAGCGGUGGAAUGCGCAGAUAUCAGGAGGAACACCAGUGGCGAAGGCGGUUCUCUGGGCCUCUCCUGACGCUGAGGAGCGAAAGCGUGGGGAGCGAACAGGCUUAGAUACCCUGGUAGUCCACGCUGUAAACGGUGGGUACUAGGUGUGGGGUCCAUUCCACGGGUUCCGUGCCGUAGCUAACGCUUUAAGUACCCCGCCUGGGGAGUACGGCCGCAAGGCUAAAACUCAAAGGAAUUGACGGGGCCCCGCACAAGCGGCGGAGCAUGCGGAUUAAUUCGAUGCAACGCGUAGAACCUUACCUGGGUUUGACAUGGAUCGGGAGUGCUCAGAGAUGGGUGUGCCUCUUUUGGGGUCGGUUCACAGGUGGUGCAUGGCUGUCGUCAGCUCGUGUCGUGAGAUGUUGGGUUAAGUCCCGCAACGAGCGCAACCCUUGUUCACUGUUGCCAGCACGUUAUGGUGGGGACUCAGUGGAGACCGCCGGGGUCAACUCGGAGGAAGGUGGGGAUGACGUCAAGUCAUCAUGCCCCUUAUGUCCAGGGCUUCACGCAUGCUACAAUGGCUGGUACAGAGAGUGGCGAGCCUGUGAGGGUGAGCGAAUCUCGGAAAGUCGGUCUCAGUUCGGAUUGGGGUCUGCAACUCGACCUCAUGAAGUCGGAGUCGCUAGUAAUCGCAGAUCAGCAACGCUGCGGUGAAUACGUUCCCGGGGCU